rnacentral:rRNA from 1 species
UACAGAGGUCUCAAGCGUUGUUCGGAUUCAUUGGGCGUAAAGGGUGCGUAGGCGGCGCGGUAAGUCGGGUGUGAAAUCUCGGAGCUUAACUCCGAAACUGCAUUCGAUACUGCCGUGCUUGAGGACUGGAGAGGAGACUGGAAUUUACGGUGUAGCUGGUGAAAUGCGUAGAUAUCGUAAGGAAGACCAGUGGCGAAGGCGGGUCUCUGGACAGUUCCUGACGCUGAGGCACGAAGGUCCAGGGGAGCAAACGGG